rnacentral:rRNA from 1 species
CUUGACUUAACCAUAAGAGGUCCAGCCUGCCCAGUGACAUUGUUCAACGGCCGCGGUAUCCUAACCGUGCGAAGGUAGCGUAAUCACUUGUCCUUUAAAUGAGGACUUGUAUGAACGGCCACACGAAAGCUAUGCUGUCUCCUUUUUCUAAUCAGUUAAACUAAUCUCCCCGUGAAGAAGCGGGGAUGAUCAUAUAAGACGAGAAGACCCUAUGGAGCUUUAAGCGAUUGAAACACUUGUACCCAUCUUCCACACUUCCGACAGUCUACGCUUAAUUUUACACUUUGUUUCUAGCUUUAGGUUGGGGUGACCACGGAGAAAAAACAAACCUCCACGCUGAAAGAGUUAAUCUCUAAACAAAAAGCUACAUCUUUAAGUAUUAAUACAUUAACCUGAAUUGACCCA